UUGGCGGCCUUAAACCUUUCAGAGGAACUCGCAUCUUCAUCCGAUAAUCCCCGUUAAUUCUCUCUUUAAUUAAGUAUUUAUAUCGCCGUCUCAAGACAAAAAUUUCAAUUUUAAUCUUCUAAGACCCACCUACUACGUCAGGUCGAGAUAAAGCUCACAUUAAAGCGAGCCGAGUUACAAAUUUUAUUCAAUUACACUUUUUCACUUAAAAAUGAUAAAAUUCAGAAUUUGAAAGUAAUCAAAAAGUAAUUUUUUUUCAUGAACACUUCAAAAAGGCGUACAUAUCGCCCGUCACCCUCGUCCAAAGAUGAGGCAAGUCGUAACAAAGUUAAUAUACUGGAAAGUGUAUUAAGGG
rnacentral:rRNA from 1 species